rnacentral:rRNA from 1 species
UACGUAGGGUGCGAGCGUUAAUCGGAAUUACUGGGCGUAAAGCGUGCGCAGGCGGUUUGUUAAGUCCGCUGUUAAAGCCCCGGGCUCAACCUGGGAAUGGCGGUGGAAACUGGCGAGCUAGAGUGUAGCAGAGGGGGGUGGAAUUCCACGUGUAGCAGUGAAAUGCGUAGAGAUGUGGAGGAACACCAAUGGCGAAGGCAGCCCCCUGGGUUAACACUGACGCUCAGGCACGAAAGCGUGGGGAGCAAACAGG